rnacentral:lncRNA from 1 species
CCCGGGGUCGGGGAGCGGUGGGGAGGGGGAGGGUCCCUAAGAAAGGUGUGUGACUCACGAGAGGUUCAGACCCGCAGGAGCAGCAGGGCAGAGGCAGGGCCAGGAGCUGGGAGGGGACCUGGGGGCGGGACAGGAGGCAGAGCCCGCAGGGCCCCCGAGCCAGCAGCCGAGGACAGCCCAGACGAGCCAGGGCCCCUGGUGGACACAGGCUUCAUGGGGGUCGAGGGCUUCUGAGGGAGCGAGGUCAGACCCCACAGGCCAGCUGAGGCCCUGCCGAAUGCUGGUCCGCUCGCUCACUCCCUCCUGCGCUGUAAGGAGAGAGGCAGCUCCUCCCCGCCCCCCCCCAUGCCCCCUUCCCGGUGCCCAGAGCCCCAGCUCCUGGGAUGAGAUCCAACGCUGCCUCCUCUGAUUCCAGCAUGAUCACCAAGGCGGGAUUAUGACAUUUAAGAGUCAGGACGGGCGCUCUUGCCAGCCUGAGCCGAGCUUCUUUCCAGGUGACGUGGAGCCAAGGCCGGGCCGGGAAGCACUGCAGGGGUCUGUGUCUGCCCUGAGAUGGAGCCUCGGCCGGCACGACCGCAGGGGACUGACACGGCUUCAUCUCUGCGUCCAGCAGAAGGGAGACCAGAUGGCCCAGUGAACAGAGCAGCAGGGUGCAGCCUGGGAAGACCCUCACGACUGUGCCCGAGGAGAGAUGCUGGUCACGCCGGCUCCCAGGCCCUCUGGGCAGUCUGGAGCCCACCCAGGCCCCCUGCCCACUCCCUGAGGAGCCCCAGGAGGUGUCUGAGGUGCCAGGCAGGAAAGGGUUAAGGAAGCACUGAACAAAUCUGAUUUACAUGCAAAAGCAGCCCCAUCCCUUCCUGACAACCCAAGGCUUGUGCAAACCAAUCAAUAUUUUAUGAAGACGGUUUCUGGCUCUGGGGGGCGGUGGGGACGGGGGCCAGGCCCCCCUGCGGCGGAAGGGGGGGGCCCCUGGGCCGCCAGUCCCCUGAAGGAGCUGGGCUCCUCUAGCGCUGUAGUGAUUCUCUCUCCUCCGCCCCUGCUCACGUCUCUGUCCAUCGAUGAGGCUGGCCGGCGCUCUGCAGGGACCCCUGUCCAAGCUGAUCCCGUCAAGACUGUCUGCACCGUGAGGCCAGCUGCCGCCGGGCCUGGGAGCCGCUG